rnacentral:lncRNA from 1 species
UGUUACUUAGGUGAGCAUGUGCUUGAUAGCAUUCCAUUAAGCACACUAAAAUCAUAACAAUUGUGUAUUUAGAGCUCUAGCUUUUUUGUUAAUUUCCUCCAGUUUGCAUUCUAAUUUUUUCUUUUGUGAACUAGAGAUUAACUUUUUUCCCCCAUAGAUAUUUAUAGAAAUCAGAUGAGAUACUUUUCAUAUUGGGUAAAAUUCAUGUAAUUAAGAGUCCAACUUAUCUCUAGAUUUUUUUUAAAUGUAACUAAUUUUCAGCAUUUUCUUAUUUUUUCCAAGUAAUAUAUACAGUAUCAUUCACCUAUGUGCAGAGAGCUGGGAGAAAAAUUCCCCCAAAUUCCAAGUUCAACUAGUCUCUUCUCCCCUGGUUCAUUUCAAUCAGCGUGUACAUUUUUCUUACUAAGACUGAUAAUACAGACAAAACAAAAUUUAAUUAUGUAAUUCAUCUCUUACAGUGAACUACUUAGAGGGACUCUGGGCUGUGAGAUUAUAAUAAAUCUGAAAACUUUCAGUUUUAAGAAUAUCUUCGUUUUCCCAAAUUUCACCCACUGGC